GAUCCUGGCUCAGGAUGAACGCUAGCGACAGGCCUAACACAUGCAAGUCGAGGGGCAGCGGAGAGGUAGCAAUACCUUUGCCGGCGACCGGCGCACGGGUGAGUAACACGUAUGCAAUCCACCUGUAACAGGGGGGAUAACCCGGAGAAAUCCGGGCUAAUACACCAUAAUAUGGGCUCUCCGCAUGGAGGGUCCAUUAAAGAGAGCAAUUUUGGUUACAGACGAGCAUGCGCUCCA
rnacentral:rRNA from 1 species